UCCGCCUUUCUCUUUCUUCUCCCCCUCACCUUUGCAGCUCUCUUUCUCCUUCUCCCUCACCUUCACAGAUGAAGUUGUUUUCUAUUUCUUCUUCAUCUCAUCAGCACGGCGACCACCACCAACACCUGAUUCCUCCUCUUCUCACUUUUCUUUCUUUUCUCACCAAUAGUUGAAGAAUCAUUACGAGAAAUAAAACCCUGGCUGUCUUCUACAAACUAAACAACAAAUCGAAGAAAAUACAUCAUUUUAUUUAAUCUUUAUCCAGUUUCUUCGAUCUACAAACCUAAUUUGAUAUUUCCUAUGCAAGAUUUGGGUCGGAAUUAGAAAAGAUCAGAUUAGAUGUUUUAUAGACGGGAGAAGAAGAAUAAGAAGAUUUAGAGGUGGGUUUUGGCGAUGGUAAUGAUGAAGAAUACUUAUCCAUGGUUGAACAGGUCUUGAGAAAUCUUGUGGAUGAUGCAUCAAUGAGCCUAGCUACUGCUUCUUCUUUGGCCUAUGGGUUGGAGAAGAAAGACAACCGAACUUUCCUAGUGUUUGAUCUUGAUGGUGGUAUCUUUGAUGUUUCAGCUCAGUGGUAUGGUGGAUGAAAGUCCUGCUCAGGAAGCUAGUAUAAGCGCAUUUACUGGGGAAAGUUCAGAUUCUAUUGUUGACGUUAAUGUUAAGACCUUGGAUCCACAAAUCUAUACAUUCCGAGUUGAGAAAAUUAUGAUUGUCCAAGGAGAACACAGCUAAGACAACUAGUGUGCCAGUUGAGCAGCAAUGUCUUAUUUUUAGGGGAAAUAUUUUGAAGGACAAUCAGUGCCUCUCAAAAUAUCGUAUCCUAACAUGUUCAUGUUUCAGAACUUCGAUUUGAGUAGUACUUAUUUGCAAUGACCAAGGAUCAAGGUCUCACAUAUUUAAUUUGUGAUUUUAGAACUGUUGCCUCUGCAUCACUAAAUUGAUAUUGUCUUAAAAGAUUUAGCAAACUGACUUACUACCUUAGCAAUUUGUUUUUCUAUUCUGAGAAAUAGUAUGAGAAAUCGACACCCUAAUAGGGUUGGAUCGAUCCAUCAGAGAGAUGAGCGAACCAAUGAGAGAAUAAAUUAGUCUACUCGCAAAUGACUUUAUUUUGUUGAUAUGAAAUGAUCCCACUACUGCUGCUCCGAUCAGGUUGGUCAAGUUUCACAUAACGUAGUUCUUGGAACGUUUAAUCUUGGGGACCAAAGUGAAAAUGGUGUUCCUAACUUUAGUCGGGCAUAAAACUCUUUGGUCAUUGGGCUUAUGCCUUCUAUUGUUGAUUCAUUUUGAUUUAUGCUUCAAAAUAUCUGUCUCUUCUGUAGAUUGUUGACGCUGUUUUAAAUUCUAUUGGGCUUGGGAGCCAGAUCCCUAUGGGCGCAACAAACACAUCAUCCAGUGUGCCUCUAAGUGACAUCCUAUUGGCAGAAUUUGGAGUAGCUCUUGCAGUGUGAGUGCACAAGAUUCUUCAGUAAACAAGACCUCGAGUAGGCACGCAAAAGCAAGUGCAUAUGUCCUCUGAAACUUCGUUGGAGGCUACCCUUCCUGCUCUUUUAUGCUAAGGUGUCUACAUGUUCUGAUCACCAUGAAGUAAAGCCUGCAUAGUAUGAAUAAGUAUGUCAGUUGGCUCUGUUAAGGUGCUGCCCUUUUAUCCAUCAUAUUUUCACUUGUCUGUUUGUUUUAGUUUGUGGAAAGUACUCUUACUGUUACUGGAUUGUGCUGAUCAGAAAGUUGUUGAAUUUUAAGUUGCAAGGGUGCAAAAUGAAACUAAAGUGAUGACUACAGAGAGUGGAACGUAACUUGGGAUGGCAUGAGGUAAGCAUCGUUAGUGUUCUCUUCUAGUUUCCUGCAGUAGUCAUAAGACUCAUAACCUUCCGAGUCUUUCCAGACAGGAACUUAUGUUACUACAUUGCGUUUUUCAAAUUUCUAACAUUUAGACAUUCAUCUAUAUCCUCCAUGUUGGUUUCUAUGCAAAUUAUGAUUAAGACCCUAGCAGAUAGGCAUUAAAAUUUUUGAUAACCGAGGUUACGUCGCAACCACAACAUGUAGGUCGUAGAGCAAAGCCUUACGAUCACAAGGCGAACAUUUUCAGUUUCACAAUUGUGUUGUAGGAGAUGCUAACUAGAAAGGUAAAAACUCUAGUAAAAUUUUGUUUGGAAACUGAACUUGGCGAAAAUUCUUGAGUAAAAUAUACACUUCACUUCAAAUAUACAGUUUUACUAAUUGUUACCAUUUGCCCUGUAACAGGCAGCUUCUUUACGAGUACUUAUCAUACUUAUCAUGCCUACGGUUUUCAUUGCCUAUAUAUGGUUUAUUUGUUCGUCUCAAUGAAGUCACUACGUAAAUGUUGUUGCUGUUAUUGUCUUGAUGAUGGGUCUAUUAGACCACCUCCGUGUAUAUUAUUAUCCACUAGUAAUGGAUACCUUCAUGGAUGCCGUCACUCUCUUCCCGAUGGUCUCAUGAGGGUUGCUGAUGUCAUGGUUGAUGGUGAGAUCGUUGUUGCUGCUGGAUAAGGAAAUGUCGGAAAGGGUUGUGCUUCUACAGGAUCUUCUCUCAAGCAAGCCGGUGCCAAGGUCCUAAUGACUGAACUUGUGGUUGAAAUUUUUAGGACUUGUUGUAUCACUUCUCUUUAAGAAACCUUAAUUAUAGGGAGUUGAAUCCUUUUUUUUAUGGUUUUGGACUAAAUUUAUGAGCACAGUUCAAUGUAAUGGAGCUGUCAUUUGGUAUUAGAUGAUUUAGGUUUUAUUUGGAACUUGAAUUUGAAUUUUAGUAUUAAUUGUCAUUUGAAUUUCACUUGAAUUUGAAAAUUUUAGUAAUUUUAUUUGAAUUUGAAUUGUCA